rnacentral:rRNA from 1 species
UACGUAGGGUGCGAGCGUUAAUCGGAAUUACUGGGCGUAAAGUGUGCGCAGGCGGCGCCGCAAGUCGAGUGUGAAAGCCCUGGGCUCAACCUGGGAAUGGCACUCGAUACUGGGAAGCUGGAGUGCGGUAGAGGAGGGUGGAAUUCCCGGUGUAGCGGUGAAAUGCGUAGAGAUCGGGAGGAACAUCAGUGGCGAAGGCGACCCUCUGGACCAGCACUGACGCUGAGGCACGAAAGCGUGGGGAGCAAACAGG